CACGUAGGGGGCGAGUGUUGUCCGGAUUUAUUGGGCGUAAAGAGCUCGUAGGCGGUUUCGUAAGUCGGAUGUGAAAACUCCAGGCUCAACUUGGAGACGCCAUUCGAUACUGCGAUGACUUGAGUCUGGUAGGGGAGUGUGGAAUUCCUGGUGUAGCGGUGAAAUGCGCAGAUAUCAGGAGGAACACCGGCGGCGAAGGCGGCACUCUGGGCCGGUACUGACGCUGAGGAGCGAAAGCGUGGGUAGCAAACAGG
rnacentral:rRNA from 1 species